rnacentral:rRNA from 1 species
UACGGGGGGGGCAAGCGUUGUUCGGAAUUACUGGGCGUAAAGGGCUCGUAGGCGGCCAACUAAGUCGGAUGUGAAAUCCCCAGGCUCAACCUGGGAACUGCAUCCGAUACUGGAUGGCUUGAAUUCGGGAGAGGGAUGCAGAAUUCCAGGUGUAGCGGUGAAAUGCGCAGAUAUCAGGAAGAACACCGGUGGCGAAGGCGGCUCUCUGGGCCUUACCUGACGCUGAGGAGCGAAAGCGUGGGUAG